rnacentral:lncRNA from 1 species
UCCAAAUCCAAACCCAAAACUCAAAUCCAACUUCUAACUUAGGUUCAUGAACCUAAGUUCGUGAACCAAAUCCCAAAUUCUAUACCCAAGUUCAUGAAUCAAGUCUCAUGAACCAAAACUCAUAAACCAAGUUCAUGAACCACGAACCAAAUCCAUGAACCUUACCCAAGUUCGUGAACCAAACACCACAGAUCAUAACCUAAGUUCAUGAAUCAAGGCCUAUGAACCAAAAUAAACCAAGUUCAUAAACUAUAUCCAAUAUACCCAACUUCAUAAACCAUAAACCAAGUUCAUGGACCAAAUCCCAUGAACCAAAACCAAACCUCAUGGACCAAAUCACAUGAGCCAAAACCAAGUUCAUGGACCAAAUCCCAUGAGCCAAAACCAAACCUCAUGGACCAAAUCCCAUGAACCAAAACCUAACCUCAUGGACCAAAUCCCAUGAGCCAAAACCAAACCUCAUGGACCAAAUCCCAUGAGCCAAAACCAAACCUCAUGGACCAAAUCCCAUGAACCAUACAUCCAACCUAAUACCCAUAUCCCAUGAACCAAUACCCAAAUCUCAUAAACCAAUGCUCAUAUCCCAUGAACCAAUACUCAAAUCUCAUAAACCAAUGCCCAAAUCUUAUGAACCAAUGCCCGGAUCAAAUACCCAUAUCUCAUGAACCAAUUAGACUCUAAUACAUAAAGUUUAAUAUCGUUUAGGUCUUAACACAUAUACUUAGGGUCUAAUCAACCUCAAAUCCAAUUGAAUCCUAAUACAUAUACUUAGGAUUCAAUAAACCGAGAUACGAUCCAUCUCAUCCAAUCUAUAAAGGUCUCUUAAUCGAAGGUGCCCCAAUCUACAGGGGGUAAUUAACAGUAGAUGCUUGCAUCUAUUGGAAGUCAUGUACCCGCAAAACCUGAUACCCACACAUACAUAUAAAUACUCAUCUGAAUCAUGAAUACUACCUCACUGCCCGAAAAAUCCAUCGACCGUGCGAGGUGCGUCAUUCGUGGUGGCAGACACACGCUU